rnacentral:rRNA from 1 species
UCGGGAAUAUUGGCCAAUGGGCGCAAGCCUGAACCAGCCAUGCCGCGUGCAGGAUGAAGGCCCUCAGGGUUGUAAACUGCUUUUGUAUGGGAAUAAAAAAGUCCUUGCGAGGACUCUUGAAGGUACCAUAAGAAUAAGCACCGGCUAACUCCGUGCCAGCAGCCGCGGUAAUACGGAGGGUGCAAGCGUUAUCC